rnacentral:rRNA from 1 species
UUCCGGUUGAUCCUGCCGGAGGUCAUUGCUAUCGGAGUCCGAUUUAGCCAUGCUAGUCGUGCGAGUUCACACUCGCGGCACCGAGCUCAGUAACACGUGGCCAAACUACCCUACAGAGACGGAUACCCUCGGGAAACUGAGGCUAACCCGUCAUACCGAUCUCAGGCUUGAAUCGCAGAGAUCACCAAACGCUCCGGCGCUGUAGGAUGUGGCUGCGGUUGAUUAGGUUGACGGUGGGGUAACGGCCCACCGUGCCCAUAAUCAGUACAGGUUGUGAGAGCAAGAACCUGGAGACGGAAUCUGAGACAAGAUUCCGGGCCCUACGGGGCGCAGCAGGCGCGAAACCUUUACACUGCACGCACGUGCGAU